rnacentral:rRNA from 1 species
AAUAGAUACCCCGGUAGUCCACGCCGUAAACGAUGGAUGCUAGCUGUACGGAGUAUCGACCCUCUGUGUAGCGAAGCUAACGCGUUAAGCAUCCCGCCUGUGGAGUACGAGCGCAAGCUUAAAACAUAAAGGAAUUGACGGGGACCCGCACAAGCGGUGGAGCGUGUUGUUUAAUUCGAUGAUAAGCGAAGAACCUUACCAGGGCUUGACAUCCUGCCAAGGUUUCCGAAAGGAGACUGUGCCUUCGGGCCGCAGUGACAGGUGAUGCAUGGCCGUCGUCAGCUCGUGUCGUGAGAUGUUUGGUUAAGUCCAUCAACGAGCGCAACCCUUAUAGUUAGUUGGAUUUUUCUAGCUAGACUGCCCCGGCAACGGGGAGGAAGGAGGGGAUGAUGUCAGGUCAGUAUUUCCCUUACGUCCUGGGCCACAAACACGCUACAAUGGCCGGUACAAAGGGCUGCCAACCCGCGAGGGGGAGCAAAUCCCAUCAAAGCCGGUCCCAGUUCGGAUUGUAGGCUGAAACUCGCCUGCAUGAAGUCGG